GAACGAACGCUGGCGGCGUGGAUUAGGCAUGCAAGUCGAACGAGAAUCUGAUGGUUCAAGUUUUCGGACAAGAACUAUUGGAGGACAGUGGCGGAAGGGUGAGUACAACAUGGGUAAUCUAUCUUCAAGUUGGGUAUAACUUUCCGAAAGGGGAGAUAAUGCCGAAUGUGGUGAUCCGACGCCUGUCGGAGAUUCUAAAGGUGGGGACCGUAAGGCCUGCCGCUUGAAGCCGAGCCCGUGCACUAUCAGCUAGUUGGUAGGGUAAUGGCCUACCAAGGCAAUGACGGUUAGCUGGUCUGAGAGGAUGGUCAGCCACACUGGGACUGAGAUACUGCCCAGACUCCUACGGGAGGCUGCAGUCGAGAAUCAUUCGCAAUGGGCGAAAGCCUGACGGUGCGACGUCGCGUGGAGGAUGAAGGUCUUCGGAUUGUAAACUCCUGUCAUGUGGAAUAAAUGGCCCGGGCCCGAAUACGGCCUGGGAAUGAUCGUACCACAGGAGGAAGAGACGGCUAACUCUGUGCCAGCAGCCGCGGUAAUACAGAGGUCUCGAGCGUUGUUCGGAUUUACUGGGCGUAAAGGGAGCGUAGGCGGUUUGGUGUGUCGAAUGUGAAAGCCCACAACUCAACUGUGGAAAUGCAUUCGAAACUGCCGGACUAGAGUACUGGAGAGGAGAGCGGAAUUCUUGGUGUAGCGGUGAAAUGCGUAGAUAUCAAGAGGAACACCGGUGGCGAAGGCGGCUCUCUGGACAGAUACUGACGCUGAGGCUCUAAAGUUAGGGGAGCAAACAGGAUUAGAUACCCUGGUAGUCCUAACCAUAAACGGUGUACACUUGGUGUGCGAGGAAUUGUCCCUUUGCGCGCCGGAGCUAACGCGUUAAGUGUACCGCCUGGGGAGUACGGUCGCAAGGCUAAAACUCAAAGGAAUUGACGGGGGCCCGCACAAGCAGUGGAGCGUGUGGUUUAAUUCGAGGCAACGCGCAGAACCUUACCAGGGUUUGACAUCAUACCGACGUCUGUAGAAACACAGAUUUCCGCUUAGGCGGACGGUAUGACAGGUGUUGCAUGGUUGUCGUCAGCUCGUGUCGUGAGAUGUUGGGUUAAGUCCCGCAACGAGCGCAACCCCUAUCCAAUGUUGCCAACAGGUAAAGCUGGGGACUCAUUGGAGACUGCCGGAGACGAUCUGGAGGAAGGUGGGGAUGAGGUCAAAUCAUCAUGGCCCUUAAGCCCUGGGCUACACACGCGCUACAAUGGCCGGUACAACGGGCAGCGAAGGAGCGAUCCGGAGCGAAUCCCAAAAAGCCGGCCCCAGUUGGAAUCGCAGGCUGCAACUCGCCUGCGUGAACAUGGAAUUGCUAGUAAUCGCGAAUCAGCUACGUCGCGGUGAAUACGUUCCCGGGCCU
rnacentral:rRNA from 1 species